CGCGUAGGCGGUUUCUUAAGUCAGGGUGAAAUCCAGCAGCUCAACUGCUGGCCUGCCUUUGAAACUAAGAAACUUGAGUCCGUGAGAGGAAAGCGGAAUUCCUGGUGUAUCGGUGAAAUGAGUUGAUAUCAGGAGGAACACCGGUGGCGAAGGCGGCUUUCUGGUGCGGUACUGACGCUGAGGUGCGAAAGCAUGGGGAGCAAACG
rnacentral:rRNA from 1 species